rnacentral:rRNA from 1 species
UACGUAGGGGGUGAGCGUUGUCCGGAAUCAUUGGGCGUAAAGAGCGCGUAGGCGGUCCGGUAAGUCCGCUCUGAAAGUCCGGGGCUCAACCCCGGAUCUGCCGUGCGGACUGGUUUGCUAGAGCACUGUAGAGGCGAGUGGAAUUCCGGGUGUAGCGGUGGAAUGCGUAGAGAUCCGGAAGAACACCAGUGGCGAAGGCGGCUCGCUGGGCAGUGGCUGACGCUGAGGCGCGACAGCGUGGGGAGCAAACAGG